rnacentral:rRNA from 1 species
AUUGAACGCUGGCGGCAGGCUUAACACAUGCAAGUCAAGCGGGGAAAGGUAGCUUGCUACCUGACCUAGCGGCGGACGGGUGAGUAAUGCUUAGGAAUCUGCCUAUUAGUGGGGGACAACAUCUCGAAAGGGAUGCUAAUACCGCAUACGUCCUACGGGAGAAAGCAGGGGACCUUCGGGCCUUGCGCUAAUAGAUGAGCCUAAGUCGGAUUAGCUAGUUGGUGGGGUAAAGGCCUACCAAGGCGACGAUCUGUAGCGGGUCUGAGAGGAUGAUCCGCCACACUGGGACUGAGACACGGCCCAGACUCCUACGGGAGGCAGCAGUGGGGAAUAUUGGACAAUGGGGGGAACCCUGAUCCAGCCAUGCCGCGUGUGUGAAGAAGGCCUUUUGGUUGUAAAGCACUUUAAGCGAGGAGGAGGCUACCGAGAUUAAUACUCUUGGAUAGUGGACGUUACUCGCAGAAUAAGCACCGGCUAACUCUGUG